rnacentral:rRNA from 1 species
UUCUUAUAACUUAUUUACAAGUAAAAUCUGCUCCAUGUUUUAAUAAAUAGCCGCAGAAUAUUAACUGUGCUAAGGUAGCAUAAUCAUUUACCUUUUAAUUAAAGGUUUGUAUGAAUGAUUUCACAUUUAAAUUACUUUUUUAUUAACUAUAAUUUAACUUAAAUUAAACAUCAAAAUGUUUUUAUAAAAUAAAAAGACGACAAGACCCUAUUGAACUUAACUAAAGUUAAGCUGGGGAAGCUAAUUAAAUAUAAUUUUAAUCCACUAAAAAAGAAAAACUUCUGAACAAUCAACACUAACAAGUUACCAUAGGGAUAACAGCGUAAUAUUUCUUUAAAGCUCUUAUUAAAAGGGAAGAUUACGACCUCGAUGUUGAAUUAGAGUACCUUAAAAAACAGC